CCACGUCGGCAAGCUGCGUCGUUCGCUUCGUCGCGAAGAAAGCCCUCUGCUCUCCUCCUCUCCUGACGCACGCGCCUCCUCUCCCAGAAAUUUCUUUCUUCCCACAAGCAAUCUCCUCUCUCCCCAGGUAGGGUUGCCACCGCCACCGCCCCAUCGCUCCUUCGGCGCUGGCCACCGACGGAAGGUGGCGGCAAGAGCUAGAAGGUGAGUGGUGCCGCGAGCUCUCGUCCCGAGGAAGCCGCGGAAGGACAAGCACAACCCAGUCGAGAUGCGGUCGUCGGUGUCGUGAUGGGGUGGAGCUGCAGAGUAGGGGCGGCGACAAGGGGAAGGAGUAGACAAGGGAGGAGUGGAGAAGGUCGUCUCCCGCGCUGCACCGCGGACAAGAGGGUGGCGGGCGGCAGUCGCCGUGGCGGAGGAGAGGAAGACGAGCUGCCACGCAGGGGAGAGGAAGGAAAGUUGCGCCCAUGGUGAAAGCGAGGCAGCCCAAGGCUAUCGCGUAGGAGAACGGGGAGGGGGGCGCUGCCACGGAGAAGAGCGACGAGGGUUGCGGCGUCGCUGCAGAUGAGAAGGAGAGCCACUACACCGCACGAUUCCACAUGAACCUCUCAUCUUUAGGCUGAACAUCCUCUGAAAUUUUCUGUAGUGGGUACCCUGUUGUUCAUCUUCAGAACAUCCUCUGAAAUUUUACUUGGCUGACGAUGUUCUUACUCCAUCAUCUUCAGUACUGCUUGACUGCUUAUUUUUAUCUUAAUAGAAGUGCAGAUUCUAUUAUGGCAAAAUGUCCACUAUAUUUUUUUGACAGUUAAAUCUUCUUUAUUCAAAGGACAGGAGGGCUAUAUCAUUUACAACUAAAGAGAUUAACCUCACCACUUCUUGACUUUUUCUCUCUUUCCGGUGCCCUGCUUCCAGCACUUAUAGUCUUUGCUUGUGCAGAUUUUUAGUUUUGUACGCCUACAAGGUAUUUGAUGAAAAUCCCAUAGGGCUAGCAGGGAAGGAGUGGUCUAUAUAAGCCAUGUGAUUUCAUUCUUCAAAAAAUCAGUUCCAGACAAUCAUAACAAGAUGAUUUUAGAUUAAUAAGAAUCCAUGAGGUGAAUAAAAGUAUGAAGAAACAAAAGAUAUAUGAAAUUGUGUAUAUUUUGUUUGAUUGUGAGGUUAUUAGCUUUGCUUGUGUUCUAUUUGAUCCCUUGCGAAUGCGAAUAAGAAAAGAAAGUUGAAACAUGUUCACUAAAAUGUGUGCUUUGCUGGCUUUUGUUUUCAUGUAGGGAUGCAUUUGAGUGUACAGUUACCUGACUUUAUAUAGUGCUGCAUCUUUUGUUUAUCGCUAGAUCUGCUGUAUCAAAUCUGCAAAUGGCACCAACAUCAUACAGUGAGCUAUGCCUGAUAGCUAUUGCUGUCAUUUCCCCUCCUGAAAUCAUCCUUUUCCUAUAUGUAGUAGCUUCAGUAAGGUUGCUCACCAAUGAGCUGGGAGUAUUUUUGUCCUGGAUACUUGCAUGAUUGAAGAAGAAAUUUGGUAUUCCUAAAUGUGCUAUUAUAGAUCAAAGGCAAAGGAAAUGAAGCGCAGGCGCAGUGCCGCUAUCGCCGCCGGAUUUUCUCCCGGGUCAUGGGAGGCGUUUGGGAGGAUCGACUAGGAAGGAUCGAACGGCACCUGGAGAAGACCUACACAAGGGUGCCACCAAGAUCUUCAAGGACGUCCUCGACUCUGCCGGACAACAGAUUCCUUUACAAAUUCGAAGCGAGAACUCAAAAAAGAAAGGGCAAGGAAAUGAAGGGCGCAAGACUACUAGAGGCAAAGACAGGCGGACGCGGCCGGAGCAGUAUGGUGGCGUCGAUGGGUGUGGAGGAGUGUGUGAAGACGCUGCAGAGCACCGUUGAGGAGCUUGUCAGCAGGACGAGCUGCUCCCGCUGCUGCAUGGCAACCCAGCCGGAUCUGCCUCGACAGGUUCGAGCCCUCCGUCACCGGCCUCGUGCACAUCUGGCAGGGUGUUGGGAAGGUGGUCAAUGUGAACAAGAUGGUCAGGGCCAGAUGGAGAGUAAAGAUCCUAAUAGCGGACCAGAGGCCAACUUGGCAAGAUCAGGGAGCAGCUGGACCACGACAAGGACGUCGGCGGCGGCUUCUCCGCCAUGUGGGAUUAUUCCUUGACCUUUCACAAUUCCUUCAGGCGUCCAUAACAUCAAGCAUAAUUUUGGUGUUUCUUAACCUUUUGCAUUCUACUCUAAUCAGUUAAAUUAGGCCUAUGACUUAGAAGUUUUUCUUAAUACUUUUAGUUGUGAAAUUUGUUUUGUGGUCUUCUUCCUGAUUCGAUGUGAUUAGCACAAUACUAAAUUUGCCGGCUAUUGAUACUUCUGUGUGAACCAGAUUAAUCUAAAGCACCAAGAUCUGCUUGUUCAUUAUUUUGAUUCAAGCUAAUCGAAUGUUCAUUAUUUUGUGUCAAUACAGUACAAUGGAGAGCUAUCCAUGACAUGUGUGGGAGCAAUGGAACCGGAGGUGCUAGAUGCAGGCACUAAUUGUAUUUAGAGUUCGGCUGCAAUAAUGAAAUCUUUUAGGAUGGUACAACCUUGGACUAGGGGAUACCAUGAACAGAUCUUAUAGUCAAAUAAUUUAUGAGUGACUUCUACUGUUUACCUUA